rnacentral:rRNA from 1 species
UACGGGGGGGGCAAGCGUUGUUCGGAAUUACUGGGCGUAAAGGGCUCGUAGGCGGCCAACUAAGUCAGACGUGAAAUCCCUCGGCUUAACCGGGGAACUGCGUCUGAUACUGGAUGGCUAGAGGUUGGGAGAGGGAUGCGGAAUUCCAGGUGUAGCGGUGAAAUGCGCAGAUAUCAGGAGGAACACCGGUGGCGAAGGCGGGUCUCUGGGCCGAUACUGACACUGAGGAGCGAAAGCGUGGGGAGCGAACAGG